CCCAAACCUUUGCUGUCAUUGCUGUAGAGAAAUAGUGUUGAUAGAACUAGUUUGUAACUCUUGAUCAAGCAGAUAUAGACCUUCCUUCACACUACCCUUGCCCAUCAUCAUCUUGUUGUUCAUCUGUUGUAUAAGGGCAUAAUCAUGAUAAAGAGAAACCAUGACAUUUUUGUCCUCAGUUAGGGAAGUAACCGAAUUGAGAUUCAACUCAACUUGAGGAACAUAAAGAACAUUUUUGAGAAUAAGAUGAUUAUUCAGUUGUAAAUUACCCACUAAAUGCACUUGGAUAAGCAUUUGAUUUGGUAAUUUGACACGAGUAUUAAAAACCUUUUUAGUAUUAAUAAAAAGUUUUUCAUCAUUACAAAUGUGUCUAGUAGCUCCAGAGUCUAUGAUCCAAACAAUAGACUUAUAAUUGCCAGAUGCAGUAUUCAGAAUAUAAUGGUUACCUGCUUUAAAUUCUUGAGUAGUAACUGCAUUGGAAGAAGCUAAUUUCCCUGAAAACAUAGCAAUAAAUUACUUGCACUGCUCAUCACUUAGCCCGGUUACAACAUCAUUAAAACCAAAGAAAGAAGAACCGUUCACUUGAUCAGUAGAAACAGAAUUAGCUCUUGAAUGGUUAUUACCAUUUGUGAACUUGAAACCAGGUGGAAAUCCAUG
rnacentral:lncRNA from 1 species